GAAAUAAGGCCACUGUCUUGAGUUCAAGGAGGAUUGCGGAUGAUGGCGCCUGGGAUGAUGGCACGAGCCUGGAAUCCCAGCACUGGAGAAACCAGAGCAAGAGGAUCUGAAGUUUGAGCCUUCGGCAACUUUGCCCUCCACCUGGCUUAGAGACUGCUCCAGCUCUGCCUGCAGCUGGGAAGGAUUUUUUUCCUACUUGAAAGGUUUUCCCUCCCACCUUUGUGGCAUGAAGUGGAAACUUAAGGGUUCUUUGGGAAGUCAGUUGUGUUGGAUGGUGUUUUGCUAAAGCAAGCACGUGAAGGAACGUUUCUCUGAGGCAGACACAGGAGAAAGGAUGUUCUACUAAAGCAAACCGGUGAAAGGACGCACGAUGAAGGAUUCUUUGAUAACGACACACAUGUAUUGGUCUGCUUUACGUUGUGUUGUGACUCCAUAGAAAGAGACGAACCAAAAAACUUCUGAUGGUGUGCCAAGGCUUCUUUGUUGCUUCUGUGGACUGGGGCCGAUUGGCAGAGUGACGUCAGUUGAAACGGACUCACGUGCUGAGACAAGACACAUGGUGAGGCAAGACCCAUGGAGGAGAUGUGAUGUGUGGAGGGAUUAUAAAUAGGACUCAACAGAUUGUGAGGGGGGCUUGGUUUGCUGGUAGAGCUCGCUAUGCAAUGCUCAUCGGGCUUGUUGGGCUUGAAUCGCCACUGAUCUUCGCUUCUCUGAGAGAACUUCUGGUUCGAAUCCCUCCUGCUGACUCAUGCUGAUUCCACUGCGGCCUAGCUGGUCUUUUUAGUUAUGCCACCGCUGCUGCUUCCCCGACACUACUGAACGGGACUGCUGGUGUAUCCGAGAAGUGUUUGAGAGUGGAUUGAGCUGCCACUGCUGACCUGUGAACUGAACUGCUGAUUUCCUGACAAUGCAGAUGGGAGUUGCUCCAAAGAACCUUCUAUAAAUAGAUCCACUUCCCCUAGCUUCAGGACAGGUCCCAGGGUCCUGAGUGUGGGUGAGCAGUGACCUCAAAAAUGCAUACAGGACUGGAGACGUGGCUCAGUGGUUAAGAGUGCUUGUUGCUCCUCCAGAGGACCCAAGUUCCAUCCCCAGCACCCACAGUGAGUGGAUCAGCAUCUCGCAACCUCUUACUUAAGCUCCAGGGGAUCUGGCGCCCUCUUCUGGCCUCUUCAGGAGACCCAGUUGUGUCAUGUGAUACUUUUCUGGAAGCUGUCUUAUGAGAGGAUGUUUUGCUGAGAACAGACAUGUGGCAUUUUUCUGGAAGCUGCCUGGUGAAAGGCCAUGUGAUGUUUUGCUGAAGCGGAUGCUUGAGAGGACACGUGAUGUUGGGAAAGAGUGUAAGUGCAACCUGGUACAACCCCACAGACAGUGGACAACGCUCUGGCAUGGGUUCGCCUUGCAACUCUUUGCUGUUCUUCACUUGUCAUGAUUUCCUAGAGAGAAACACACCAAAGAACUUCUGGUGGUACUCUAGCUGCUUCAGUGAACUCAUGGUGAUUGACAGAGCCUCGAGGUUUCUUCUGGAUUGAGCCGUUGCUGCUGAGUUUGGUGUUCUACUAACGGACUGGAGUAUUGACAACAAUGUAUUAGAAUCAGCCUAAAGAACUGGUAGUGUUCCAGCUGCGCUUCCACGGACCCAUGCUGAGCAGUGGGUCCUCAUAGUUUCUUCUGGAUCAAGCAGCAGCUACUGAUUCAUGUUCGAUGUUUGCUGAGUGGACUGGACUGCCAAAUACAAAGAUUAAAACUGACCCAAAGAACUACUUCUAAACAGGUCCCUAUCCCCUGUUUCCUAUUAACCUUUCUUUCCCCCUACCCCUGGUGGGUGUUAGGCUACAAGGGAGGUUAAAGCAUUGAAUAACCAUCAUUAAAGUAGGUUUUGAAAAAUGUAAGCCUACAGGAUAUACCUCAGGCAUAAAGGUAGAAGCCAGAUGGGCUGGUGUACAUUUGGCAUUUCAGAACUCACGGGGUAGAGGCAGGAGGAUUGCACAUUUGAAAGAAGCUGGAAUAACAAUGUGAUAUGUGCCUCGAGGAAAUGAGGGAAGGAGGGGAGGGGACGGCCUUGGCCCCUGAGCCAUCCAUCCUCACUGCUCCACAGAUGGACAGACAUGUAGAAAAGACCAGAAGGUCACGAUGAGUGCAAUAUCACAAAGGCAUAGUAUCCUGACAAGAACGGUGCCUGAUCUUCCUGUAGAGUCCAUUGGUCCCUUCCUUUAGACAUUGCUGAGAUGCCUACUGAACACCUGAUUUAGGCCGGGUACUGUAGCAUCUAUGCCAAAGAAGAAGUUAUGGGGUUUCAGGUGCUAAAGAGGGCACCUCAGAGGAUAUGCCAUUUCAGCCAACCCUAACUACAUGGAGAGGUGGCUGCAGGUACGUAAAAGAGACAAACCGUCCUGGCAGAGGCCACAGCCAUGAGUGAAGGGCAAGUGUGAGCAUUGCUAGAGCAGUGGGGGAGGGACAGGAGUCAGGGGUAACAAUCUUGGUGAUGGUAGAAUCUCUUAAGGGAAAGUCUGGGUUCUUCUGUUCUCUGCCUCUAACAGAGUCCUCAGUAGCCCUCCGUACUGUAUGUCAUACAGGCAGCCUGUAUGACAGUCUGAAUGCUGUGCCUGAUCCCUGUCUCCCGGUCCUGGGAUGUACCUGGAGAAUAUCACCCAUGGGCAUUUGUACAAUCUCCAACCGUAGUUCUACAGCCCAGCUGCUGUAAGUCAUGGGACAAAGGACGCUCGGAGAUUGAAAUCUCUUUGCAGGACCCUUAGUGCCCCCACCCUUUUCAGUUUGCUUGUCUUUUUUGAGACAGUCUCCAGGUACCCUGGGCUACCUCCAAACUUGAGAUCCUCCUGCCUCAGCUUCCCUAGUGCUAGGAUGCAGGCAUAUACCACCAGACCUGGCUCUCUCAGUACUGGAGUCUUUGGGGGAGGGACUGUCUCAUUCUCUUCCCCAUGGAGAACUCAGCAGCAGCUUAGCAAGGAUCUGAAAGUAAAGCCAGCACCGUAUCUUCUAGUAGUCAAACGGGCCCUUCCUGUCCAGAGCAAUGCUUUUGAUUUUGACUUUCUUAUUUCCAAAGGGGAAUCUUCCAACUCUUGCACACUGAGAAAGAAAAACAGAUGACUCUGUAGAGAUUGCGCAAUAAACAUCUUCCUAAUUACGGUUCGCAAGAUGACAAAUUUCUUGUUCCCAGAUGAAACACUUGGUUUUCGCCAAAUUGUAAGGCAGUUGUCUGUCAUUCUGUAACCACAGAAUGGAAUCUGUUUUGUAAAAUAACUGCUUAACGGUUGGUUGUAAUCUAAUAAGUGACCAACCGAGACGUUCCCUCUGGUCCAAUAGUGGCGUGACUAUUACAGCAGUAACACCAGGUUUUGUUUGUUUUUUUAUUGUUAUUGUUCUUGUUUCUGAGAUAGAAUUUCACCAUGUAACUGAAAUCCUGGAAGUCUGAGCUCUCUGUGGAGAUCAGAGUAGCCUUGAAUUCACAGAGAUCUGCCUGCUUCCCAAAAACUGGAACCAUACCUGGCUCCCAACUACUUUCUGAUUAGAUUUGAGGCCUCUUCCACAGAGGGGGAAUUCUUGCUUGUCACUGGACACUUGGUAAGAAGCCCAUGUCUGGGGACAUCAUAGGCUGUAAGGGGACCUAUUGUUGUUGUUUUGUCAAAUAGAUGUGUGGUCAAACUGCUGUUUAAAGUAUGUUUAUUCAUGUCCAGAGAUAAUGAUGCUCUCUGGUAAUAAAUACAGAGAUUCAUAACAGGUC
ensembl:lincRNA Gm12784 predicted gene 12784